AUAAUAUUAAAUAAUCAUGGAUUCACGGGGCGGUGCCAAAAAAGAAUUGGAUCCUGAAGAGCAAAUGAAAAGAAAAUUUCGUGCAAAAUGUUUGUUCCGAGCUUUAGGCCGUUUAGUAAUGACUAAUGCGUAUUGGUUGAUUGAAGGGGUAGAUCAUUAUGAAGGCUUAGAUGAUGUGAGACGGAGAGUCGAACAAGCAGUUCGAGGAAAGACUAAGAAAAAACAACUACUGAGUAUAAACGAUAAAGCACUUUUGAAUAAGCCGGCAGAAGAAAGAACGGACCAAGAGAAAAAAUAUAUAUUUCGUAUUAUAGGCGGACUUAAAUGUUUUAAGCGAUAUCCCAAUCAUGUCAAAAAGAAACUUGCCGCUGUAACAUAUUUCAAGUAUUAUAGCCCAGGACGUACUAUCGUUCGACAGCAUCACGAGGCUCAUGCUCUAUAUUUUAUUAUAACCGGUGACGUGACCGUGAGUCAGUUGGUUUAUGACGAACUGCUACAGCAAUAUGUGUCUGUAGACGUGGGGGUGAUGCACCCCGGAGAUAUGUUCGGUGAAGUUUCAUUGUUACACAACAUUCCGAGAACCGCUACAUGCACAACAAAUGAUCAUUGUGAGGUGUUGGUACUUAUGAAGGAAGAUUUCAAAAAUGUUCUUCAAGCGUCCAUACAGAAGCAAUGGGACGAAGUCAGGCGUGCGAUGUCAGCUUUUACUUACUUCGAUGCUUUGGAUGAGGUAGCGCGUCGUGAAGGUUGUAUUGUUGCGAAGAUGAAAUCAUAUGAACCGAAUGAAACACUCCUCGGUGACGGUGUGGGUGUUGCCAAUUUUGUCUACUUCAUACUAUCAGGACGAUGUCAGAUGAUUGAAUCCUUACAAGUGAUUGUUACGACGAGACUUGGCAAACAUUAUUAUGCUUUAUAUGAUCCUUAUGUACCAAAAGUAGAGAGCGAACAAGACUUUGACACGAAAUAUUUUGGUGCAUAUAAGAAUUUAAAUAAAGGGGAAGCGGAAUCGGAAACCAUGGGUGAUGGUAAAGAACGAAGCCAAAGUACUGAGGCCCAAAGAGAUUCCGCGAAGAGUGUGACGUUAUCGAGUUCCUUAAAAAGAGAUAAUUCGUCGAGUGCUAUGAAAUUACCAACAAUUAAAGUUAAAAGUGAAGGAGAAAACGAACGAUACAGUAGAGUUAGCGUUGAUUUUGAAAUUCCAGAGCAGUCCACAUCUCACGAACUACUUCGACCAUCCUUCCACAAGGAACAGCGUGAAUCAGUUAGACUAAGUGUCGUACCUGAAGUGAUUGGCGGGCAAGCUGGUAAGCCAGUGCUGUUGCAAAACCUUAAAACAUACUUCAUGCAGGUUUGUCAACUAAAUCCAGGUUCUAGUUUUGGCUUUGGUGAGAACAUGCGCGAUCGACGUAUAGUUGCUCUGACGCCCGUGAGUUGUAUGCUUCUACCAAAGAUAUGGCUUCUUCAACGGAAUACUGCCAACAUUUGGUCGAGAAUACAACACUAUUUGGAGAAAAAGAAUAUAUGCAUGGAAAUAUCUCUAUUGGUUGGAGGUCGAAGCUUACCAUCGGAAUCUGAAUGCUGUUUCCGUUUUAAAAGUCAAUGAAUUUGGAGGCAAAAGAGACGUAACAUCUGAAUUCCCAUGGUUGGCGGCGCAUUAGUGUCUAUGAAUGGUGUUACCAUUUACAAUACCGACAAAAAAGCAACUUUUCAAAGAAUUUGUGUCUGCAAGGAGAUGGCAGGAGUUUAGAGAUCA